rnacentral:lncRNA from 1 species
AACAAAAGAAAAAAAAAAGAGAAGAAGGGAAGAAACAGAAUAGUAGAAACGAGACAGAGAGAGAGGGAAGGAAGGAAAGAAAGAAAAGAAAGAAAAAAAGGGAAAAUAUAAGGUUUGAAGCUUGAAGUUUAAUUUGGUAAGUCAAUUAAGUCAUUUCCUCUUAAAUUUGAUGUUUUAGAAGCUUUAAAACAAGGUUUUAUUGAAAUUAAGUUGAUAUUUUGAGAGUUUAUAGUUUUUCAAGUAUAGUUCAUGUUGAAUAAAAUAGUGAAUUAAGGGUUUAAUUGAGUGAAUUUCAAGUUAGAAUUGAUAAUAAGAUCAAAUUGUAAAGUAAGUUAUAAGUUUUAUGUUGUAGGAACUAAAUUGAUGAAAUUUUGAAAUUAGGAAAAUAUGCUGGAAAUUUAAUAUUUAAAUGAGAGUAUGGAUGAAAUUUGAAUAGAAAUAGAAUGUGAAUUGAAUUAGAAACGUAAGUGAAAAUUAGUUAAGAUUAAAUUGAAAUUAAAGUAGAAAAUUGAAUAGAAAAUUCAAUUAAUUAGAUAUAAAUUAGUAGUGAAUUAAUGAAUAUAAAUUGUUUUAAUUUCCGUAGCUAACGUUGUCUCGAGAAGUUUCGGCUAAGUAAGGAAAUAGCAAAGUCGAUGAGUAAAAGCUUGGAAAAGCUCGAAAAAUACGGUUUGUAUUUCUAUAAUCUGAACUCAGUCAUUAUUUAUUAUAUUUAUAUACAUAUGACAAUUGUUAGUGUUAGAAUUAUGAUGUUUUACAAUUGAAAUGGAUUGAUUUUGGUAUGUGAUGAAUUUAUCAAAUUUAUAUUGAUUGAAAUCAUUUUGAUUGAAUUUAUAUUGAUUGAAAUUAUAAUAUAUAUAUGAUCUAUGUAAAAAUUUGAAUAUUGAAUGAAUGUUAUAUUGAAAAAUUAUAUUGAUUGGAAAUAUGAGGGAAUUGAUAUGAAUAUAUGAGAUUUGUGAUAAUUGAAUAUUUGAUAUUGAAAAGUGAAUUGAGUUGUAUUGGAUUAUGAAUUAAUGUGAAUAAUUGAAAUAUAUUUGUUGAAUUGAAUGAAAAUGUAUGAAAUUGUGAAAAUGUGUGAAUAUAUGUGAUUAUUAGAAUGGUAUAUUGAUGAAAGAUUCUUUAAAUUGAGAAAGUGAAUCAAAUACCCUAUUAACAGUAUUGGACCAGAUUGGAUACAAAUGGCAUGCCAUUGGGUUUGUGAUGUGAUGAGGAGAUUUGUAGUUCGGCCGAGAAGAUGUUUCUGUUAUUAUAUACUUCGGUUUAUCCGAAGAGGCAUUUAAUGCCUUAUUGGUAUGUUUGGGAGGAUAUGAUAUACUGGUGUGUUAUGGAGGAUUUAUAAUAUUCCGGGUGUGUUUGGGUUGGAUAUUCUGGUGUGUUUGGGAGGAAUCCGCGUAUCUAUCAGAGUCCGAAUCUUGUUAAUAGGGGUAAAUAAGUGAAAAGAUAAAUCGAGUGAAUUUGAUUGAUUGAGCUAUUAGAAUGAAAUGAGAAAUUGAAUUGAGAAUUGAAAUUGAGAUAUGAAAUUGAAAACAUGAACCAAAAGGUUCAUGAAAUGAGUGAAGUUCAAAUGGAUGAUGAUUGAUGUUAGAAUGAAUUAAAAUGGUAUAUUGUUAAGAAGUAAAGUGUGAAUACAAGUGAAUUGUGAAUAUAUUGUAUAGAAUUUAUACGGUAAGUAAAUGAAAUUCAUCUAUAAAAUAAAUAAAUGAAUACUUAUAAUUGUUAUUGUGAUUUUAAGUUUAAUUGUUAUGUUAUUAAGUGUUCGGAUUAUGGAAAUACCACUGAGCAUACCAUACUCAGCGUACGGUUUGUUUCCGUGCACAGGUUAAGUAAAGAUAGAACGUUGAAUCAGCAUCCCAGGCCGAUCCCAAAUUCAAUGAGGUAAAGUGUGUUAAUUAUGGGUAAUGGCAUGUACCUAGGAUGCCUUAUGUGUGUGUCAUUUUGAAAUUGUAAAUGUAAGGAUGAAAUAAAUCAAUUUAAGGUUUGGUUAUGGUAUAAAAUAGGAUUUGAAUAAUUUAGUAUGAAUUUGAAUUUUUAUGAGACAAUGUCAGAUUGAUUUUGGAAUUCCCUAUUCUGUAUUGGGAAAAUCAUUAAAAAUUGUAUAAAACUAAUUAUGGGCUAUAAUUUAUAUUCUUAGAAUCCUUAAUGAGUCUAUUUUCAAGAUAAAUAAACGGGAACAUCACCCG